CCGUAGUUACUGUCCUUUGUUCCAGUUUCUUUCAGGCAUCUCUUGGGGGUGGAGAAGCCAUCUCUUAAACAAGCUGAAGACAAAAUGGAGGGGUUUCCAGGGCCUUUUAUAUUCUUUCUCCUGUGGGCAGAAACCCCUUUGUUCUCCUGU